rnacentral:rRNA from 1 species
ACGUAGGGGACGAGCGUUGUCCGGAAUUACUGGGCGUAAAGGGCGCGCAGGCUGUAGAUCAAGUCAGCUGUGAAAUGUCUGGGCUUAACCCGGGCAUGCGGUUGAAACUGAUGUACUGGAGUGCUGUAGAGGCAAGUGGAAUUCCCAGUGUAGCGGUGAAAUGCGUAGAUAUUGGGAAGAACACCGGUGGCGAAGGCGACUUGCUGGGCAGCAACUGACGCUGAGGCGCGAAAGCCAGGGGAGCAAACGG